UACGAAGGGGGCUAGCGUUGCUCGGAAUUACUGGGCGUAAAGCGCACGUAGGCGGCUUUCUAAGUCGGGGGUGAAAUCCUGGAGCUCAACUCCAGAACUGCCUUUGAUACUGGGGAUCUCGAGUCCGGGAGAGGUGAGUGGAACUGCGAGUGUAGAGGUGAAAUUCGUAGAUAUUCGCAAGAACACCAGUGGCGAAGGCGGACUCACUGGCCCGGUACUGACGCUGAGGUGCGAAAGCGUGGGGAG
rnacentral:rRNA from 1 species